rnacentral:misc_RNA from 1 species
GAUGAAGAACGUAGCAAAAUGCGAUAAGUAAUGUGAAUUGCAGAAUUCAGUGAAUCAUCGAAUCUUUGAACGCACAUUGCGCCCGCCAAUAUUCUGGCGGGCAUGCCUGUUCGAGCGUCAUUUCAACCCUCAAGCACAGCUUGGUGUUGGGACUCGCGUUAAUUCGCGUUCCCCAAAUUGAUUGGCGGUCACGUCGAGCUUCCAUAGCGUAGUAGUAAAACCCUCGUUACUGGUAAUCGUCGCGGCCACGCCGUUAAACCCCAACUUCUGAAUGUUGACCUCGGAUCAGGUAGGAAUACCCGCUGAACUUAAGCAUAUCAAUAACGGAGGA